GCGUGCAACAGCUCAAAUUUGAAAUCUGGCCUCUUUGGGGUCCGAGUUGUAAUUUGUAGAGGAUGUUUCGGGCACCGCUCCGGUUUAAAUUUCUUGGAACAGAAUGUCAAAGAGGGUGAGAACCCCGUCUUGGACCGGCAGUAGGGCCCAUGUGAAACUCCUUCGACGAGUCGAGUUGUUUGGGAAUGCAGCUCAAAAUGGGUGGUAAAUUUCAUCUAAAGCUAAAUAUUGGCCAGAGACCGAUAGCGCACAAGUAGAGUGAUCGAAAGAUGAAAAGCACUUUGAAAAGAGAGUUAAACAGUACGUGAAAUUGUUGAAAGGGAAGCGCUUGCAACCAGACUUGCGCGCGGCGGUUCCCCCUUCCUUCUGGUUGGGUUAUUCCGCCGUGUCCAGGCCAACAUCGGUUCUGGGGGUCGGUUAAAGGCCUGGGGAAUGUAUCUACCCUUCGGGCGUAGACUUAUAGCCCCGGGUGUCAUGCGACCUCCCGGGACCGAGGAACGCGCUUCGGCUCGGAUGUUGGCGUAAUGGUUGUCAGCGACCCGUCUUGAA
rnacentral:rRNA from 1 species